ACGCACGCUGGCGGCGUGCUUCACACAUGCCAGUCGAACGGAAAGGCCCUGCUUUUGUGGGGUGCUCGAGUGGCGAACGGGUGAGUAACACGUGAGUAACCUGCCCUUGACUUUGGGAUAACUUCAGGAAACUGGGGCUAAUACCGGAUAGGAGCUCCUGCUGCAUGGUGGGGGUUGGAAAGUUUCGGCGGUUGGGGAUGGACUCGCGGCUUAUCAGCUUGUUGGUGGGGUAGUGGCUUACCAAGGCUUUGGCGGGUAGCCGGCCUGAGAGGGUGACCGGCCACAUUGGGACUGAGAUACGGCCCAGACUCCUACGGGAGGCAGCAGUGGGGAAUAUUGCACAAUGGGCGGAAGCCUGAUGCAGCAACGCCGCGUGCGGGAUGACGGCCUUCGGGUUGUAAACCGCUUUCGCCUGUGACGAAGCGUGAGUGACGGUAAUGGGUAAAGAAGCACCGGCUAACUACGUG
rnacentral:rRNA from 1 species